GCCUUUGUGGCUCAGUGGAUAGAGCAUUGGCCUGUGGACUGAAAGGUCCCGGGUUCGACUCUGGUCAAGGGCA
rnacentral:tRNA from 1 species